UCCUCCUCCGGUUGACGGACAAGUGCAGGACAGACAGAAUCUCGCGCAGUUUGAGCUGACUGUGCUCCUCUGACCCGUCUGCUUCCUCUGUGCCACUGUCCCUCCCUGCCCUACAUUAGGCUGACACACUGGCAAUCUUUACAGCAGGUGUAAACUGGAGUUAGCAGCGAUGGAAGCACUAGGACAUCCCUCCCACUCCUGGCAUGCACUGCAUUCCUGAAUCUCUCCAGCGACCCAAAGCUGUCUCUCAAACGACAAAAAAAUGGAGAGCGAUGGUACUCGGGUAGCGCUGAGACGUGGCCACGUCAAUAACUUCCAACCCACGUCGGGGGAGGAGUCGUUCAGCCCUUCACCAAUCAUGAGAGGCAAAGAAUGUUUCGAGUUCGUAUCCACAUCCAGUAUCCACACAUUUCAGUGAUAGUCUCUGUUGGACUAGGAUUGACAUGUCCUUUUAACUUUUAGCCAGUAAUGGACAGGGUUUUGGAUAUGGACAAUCCUACUCUGAGACACCUUUAAUCUCGUAAGCUAUACUCUGAUUAGUGAAUUCUACAAAACAUUCCAAGAUUGCCAGGAUUUUGCAUUUCUUUUAUUUUCAAGUUAUUGAAACGGGGAACUGCCUGUACAAGCAUGGACUGGUACAUACCAGUCCAGUGAAAUUAAUGAUAUUACAUUACUUUCUUUGGCAUUUACACGUCAGCAGUUGCAGCAAUUUUCGAUUGCUUAUGCAUGUGAUUGCUUGACUGUGAAUUGUGGAGUUCAAACAAGAACAGACUGGGAGUAUAGAUCACUUUUAAAAGAUACAGUUUCUCCCAGUACUAAUGGACAGCGUCCACAACUUUGGUUCAAGCACAGCUGAGUGUAAACCCCUCUUUAUGAAUUCAUGCCGCCUUGCAGGUUUUUUGCCAGCGUCUGUGCCCGGGUACCCAGCGCCCACUGCGGUGGGCGGGCACGGCUUGUGGGGACGCGUUAGGAUUCCGGGGCGUGGGAGUCGAAGGCCGCGAGCACGUCCUGCUUCCUAGCGAGCUGACUGGCUGUCGUCCCGGAGGCGUCCUGCGUGUCCCGGAGUCCAAGCAGGAGGAGAGCUUGUGUGGCGUCCGCCUGCUGUCCCGCACAGGCCGAGUGGAGGGCUGGGACAGAAAUGGGGUUUUCUUUUACAGACACAUUUACAACCCGUCAAAAUCACAAAAAUGUGUUUCCCUAAUGAUCUGCAAUUUUCACAUUUUCUUUUUCACUCAAAACCAAAGUUAUGAUUGUGUGAGUCACAUUGAUAUGAACCAGCCUUAAUGUCAGCCUUAAGUUUCUGCUUCAUUUCACAAGCACAGAUUAAUUACAGUAAAGAAAACUACCGCCAUUUGUGGAACAAGGUCGGCUCCUAAUUCCAGGAGGGUUUUUAUCGUGCUCGCGUGACCUUCCUACAAGAAGGAUCGCAAAUGAAGGAGCAGUCUGGCGACCGCGACGCUUCCGGUCCGCACAGCGUCUGUGAAGGGAGUGACUCCACAGCUGUCCCUGCAGUCGGGCUGGAUGCGAACCACAUCUUCACAGCCGUGCAGAGCUGAAGAAAACAGAGCAACGAACGCUAAGAACUGCUCAAAACACGUCCUUCGAGCCAGCGACCUAAGGAUACCCAUGUAUCACCUACAGUCCUCCGCUCUACCAACUGAGCUAUCGAAGGGACAGUUCAGCAGACCCCCUGGUCCCUGGGUUCACCAUGGCACACCGCACACGUGACAGGAAUGUGGGAGUCGUGUUAAGGAUCUCACGCAACGCGGCCAAACACCCAGCCCUGUUUCUCAUCACACGACAGGUGGAUGGCAGAGGAGCAGCCGCAGUGUAGGAGGUGCCCUGGCUGGGAUCGAACCUCCUGCCCACUCAGAGGGACCAGUGCUGGGUUCGAGCGAACUCAUCCUACAGGCUGCGGAAUGGCCAAUGUCACGGCAACCAGCUGCUCUGAAG